rnacentral:rRNA from 1 species
CCUACGGGAGGCAGCAGUGGGGAAUAUUGGACAAUGGGGGCAACCCUGAUCCAGCCAUGCCGCGUGUGUGAAGAAGGCCCUCGGGUUGUAAAGCACUUUCAGUGAGGAAGAACGCCUGGUGGUUAAUACCCAUCAGGAAAGACAUCACUCACAGAAGAAGCACCGGCUAACUCCGUGCCAGCAGCCGCGGUAAUACGGAGGGUGCGAGCGUUAAUCGGAAUUACUGGGCGUAAAGCGCGCGUAGGUGGCUUGAUAAGCCGGUUGUGAAAGCCCCGGGCUCAACCUGGGAACGGCAUCCGGAACUGUCAAGCUAGAGUGCAGGAGAGGAAGGUAGAAUUCCCGGUGUAGCGGUGAAAUGCGUAGAGAUCGGGAGGAAUACCAGUGGCGAAGGCGGCCUUCUGGACUGACACUGACACUGAGGUGCGAAAGCGUGGGUAGCAAACAGGAUUAGAUACCCCAGGAGUC